UACAGAGGUCCCAAGCGUUGUUCGGAUUCACUGGGCGUAAAGGGUGCGUAGGCGGUCGGGUAAGUCUGAUGUGAAAUCUCACAGCUUAACUGUGAAACUGCAUUGGAUACUAUCCGGCUAGAGGAAUGGAGGGGAGACUGGAAUACUUGGUGUAGCAGUGAAAUGCGUAGAUAUCAAGUGGAACACCAGUGGCGAAGGCGAGUCCCUGGACAACUUCUGACGCUGAGGCACGAAAGCUAGGGGAGCAAACAGG
rnacentral:rRNA from 1 species